rnacentral:lncRNA from 1 species
AGAAGUCUUUUUAAAUAUUUAAAAACAAAUCCAAAAUCAAUUAAUUCACAAAAAAUAUCAAAAUUAAUUAAAAAAAAUGAUUUUAAUUCAAAAUAUGGAAGAGGAAAAUAUUUAAAGAUUUUUGGUGAAAGUCCCAUAUUUUUUGGAUUAAAAAUGAAUUUAAUAUGAAUUAAUCAAAAUAAAUUGAUUAAACAUAAAAUCAGAAAUAAAAUAAAAAUAAGAAAAAACAA